rnacentral:rRNA from 1 species
UGGCGGCAUGCCUAACACAUGCAAGUCGAGCGGCAGCGCGGGGGCAACCCUGGCCGGCGAGCGGCGGACGGGUGAGUAAGGCAUCGGAAUCUGCCCUGAUGUGGGGGAUAACGUAGGGAAACUUACGCUAAUACCGCAUACGACCGAGAGGUGAAAGCGGGGGACCGAAAGGCCUCGCGCAGCAGGAUGAGCCGAUGUCCGAUUAGCUGGUUGGUGGGGUAAAGGCCUACCAAGGCGACGAUCGGUAGCUGGUCUGAGAGGAUGAUCAGCCACACUGGGACUGAGACACGGCCCAGACUCCUACGGGAGGCAGCAGUGGGGAGUAUUGGACAAUGGAGGCAACCCUGAUCCAGCAAUGCCGCGUGUGUGAAGAAGGCCUUCGGGUUGUAAAGCACUUUUAUCGGGAGCGAAACGCGCCAGACUAAUAUUCUGGUGAACUGACGGUACCCGAGGAAUAAGCACCGGCUAACUCCGUGCCAGCAGCCGCGGUAAUACGGAGGGUGCA